rnacentral:rRNA from 1 species
UACGUAGGGGGCUAGCGUUGUCCGGAAUCAUUGGGCGUAAAGAGCGUGUAGGCGGUCCGGUAAGUCCGCUGUGAAAGUCGGGGGCUCAACCCUCGAAUGCCGGUGGAAACUGUCGGGCUCGAGUGCGGAAGAGGCGAGUGGAAUUCCUGGUGUAGCGGUGAAAUGCGCAGAUAUCAGGAGGAACACCGAUUGCGAAGGCAGCUCGCUGGGACGCGACUGACGCUGAGACGCGAAAGCGUGGGGAGCAAACAGG